ACAUCCAGCGAACUUGGCAGAGAUGCCUUGGUGCCUCGGGAACGCUGAGACAGGUGCUGCAUGGCUGUCGUCAGCUCGUGUUGUGAAAUGUUGGGUUAAGUCCCGNAACGAGCGCAACCCUUAUCCUUUGUUGCCAGCGAUUCGGUCGGGAACUCAAAGGAGACUGCCGGUGAUAAACCGGAGGAAGGUGGGGAUGACGUCAAGUCAUCAUGGCCCUUACGAGUAGGGCUACACACGUGCUACAAUGGCGCAUACAAAGAGAAGCGACCUCGCGAGAGCAAGCGGACCUCAUAAAGUGCGUCGUAGUCCGGAUCGGAGUCUGCAACUCGACUCCGUGAAGUCGGAAUCGCUAGUAAUCGUGGAUCAGAAUGCCACGGUGAAUACGUUCCCGGGCCUUGUACACACCGCCCGUCACACCAUGGGAGUGGGUUGCAAAAGAAGUAGGUAGCUUAACCUCCGGGAGGGCGCUUACCACUUUGUGAUUCAUGACUGGGGUGAAGUCGUAACAAGGUAAGCGUAGCGAG
rnacentral:rRNA from 1 species